rnacentral:rRNA from 1 species
AUUGAACGCUGGCGGCACGCCUAACACAUGCAAGUCGAGCGGCAGCGAGACUAGUAGCAAUACUAGUUGUCGGCGAGCGGCGGACGGGUGAGUAACACGUAGGAAUCUGCCCUUAAGCGGGGGAUAACCAAGGGAAACUUUGGCUAAUACCGCAUAAUCUCGAGAGAGCAAAGCUGCCCGCAAGGGUGGCACUUGAGGAGGAGCCUGCGUCCGAUUAGCUAGUUGGUGGGGUAAUGGCCUACCAAGGCGAUGAUCGGUAACUGGUCUGAGAGGACGACCAGUCACACUGGGACUGAGACACGGCCCAGACUCCUACGGGAGGCAGCAGUGGGGAAUAUUGGACAAUGGGGGCAACCCUGAUCCAGCGAUGCCGCGUGAGUGAAGAAGGCCUUCGGGUCGUAAAGCUCUUUAGGUUGGGAAGAAGGGUAUUGGCUGAAUAAUCCAGUACUUUGACGGUACCGACAGAAUAAGCACCGGCAAACUCUGUGCCAGCAGCCGCCGUAA